rnacentral:rRNA from 1 species
ACAGGCUUAACACAUGCAAGUCGAGGGGUAACGAGAGGAAAGCUUGCUUCCCUUGUCGACGACCGACGCACGGGUGAGUAACGCGUAUCCAACCUGCCCCCAACUAGGGAAUAACCUUGCGAAAGUAAGACUAAUACCUUAUAAUUUCCUCAGAUGCCAUCUGACGAGGAAUAAAGAUUUAUCGGUUGUGGAUGGGGAUGCGUCUGAUUAGCUUGUUGGCGGGGUAACGGCCCACCAAGGCAACGAUCAGUAGGGGUUCUGAGAGGAAGGUCCCCCACGUUGGAACUGAGACACGGUCCAAACUCCUACGGGAGGCAGCAGUGAGGAAUAUUGGUCAAUGGGCGGAAGCCUGAACCAGCCAAGUAGCGUGAAGGAUGACGG